AAAACUCCCAUAAAUCCCAACAAAAAUGAAAACGGAGAAGGAAGGUAAAGUGACAGAAACUGUGAGAAACAAAUACAGUCACGCGGAAGCAAAAACCUACCGGUCCUCAUAUUGAAUUUCUCUCCCAGAUCAUUACCUUCCUCGUUUUCUUUCCAUCUUCUGAUCCUCUCUCGUGAACUGCCCCAUUUAGUUCCUUAUUCUUUUUAAUAAUGACAGUUUUGGCAUUUUUAGAGGAUUCUCUUUUGGUGAUCCAUUGUGGAAAUGAGAGGAAGGUCGUUUCGUUUGACAAGAGAUAGAUUUGGUCUUUCGGCCCAGCGAUAAAGAAGAUUGGGAAAUAUAGAGGAAUUGUUUCUCCUUUGAUUCACAACAUGAGCCCGCAAAGGCUGGCGACUAUUCGUGAUUUGGUGGAGGAAGCGAAGAAGCGGAUUGUGUUUCUGGUUAUAUGCGUUGUCGGCUUAUCUUACCUCAUGUCACGUAAGUUUCCGAUGUCUUCCUUGAUCGAAUUAUUUUCGUGCAUUUUUCUUUUUCAUUCUUAUUCCAGUUUGAUUAUUCCGUAUAGUAGCAGAUAUUAAAGCUCGAUUCUUUAGGGUUUUAUACGGUGAAAAUGUAAAGGUAAGAGUGGUAACUUCACAAUACGUGAGGUUUUGGUAGCGAGUAAUACGCACGUCUUAGACAUGUUGAAGUUUUCGUUUGUUCUAGAUGCUAUAAGUGUUAACCUUGAGGGCUACUAUUUUUUUUUUUUUUUUCUCUUUUCAAACAAUUCUGCGUCAAAUUUUUGGUGUUCGCGCAGACUAUAAUUGGCAGGAGAAAGAAGUGAGAGCAAGAUAAUUUUCCUCCAAACAUUCCUGAUUAUUGAGGGAAAAGAAAACUGUGGAUAUUGGAGUUUUCUUUCCACGAGUUGAAUGUGGAAAGUGAAAUGAAGUAGUUUUUUUUAAGAUAAAAAUGAAAUGAAGUAGUUCUUUUUGUUUUUUCCCCAUUCGUUCUCUUUCUCCUUCGACUUCUCCAUCUUCUCUAAUAAGGACAUGAUAAAAAGUUCAAUAUUUUUCUAUUUUUCUUUUCAUAUACGAUUAUAUUGUUUGGGUAAACAGCAUUCGUUAUAGUUUCAGUAAAAGGGUUAUAUGUCCUUUCAAAAGAAAAAAAAAAUUCAUAUUCUAUAUGCUGAUAAUGCAUCAACUUAUGUAGUUUCAGCAUUGGUUAUCUUGUGUUAUAUAAUGCACCAACUUGUGCUGCAGAUGUGAAUCCAGAAAGUAACAUGCUAUAAAGUUGUUGUGAACUCUAAAACUUAGACCAGGUGAUGGAACAAAAUCUUAGACACACCUGUUAGAUUGCAGCCGAACCUUAAAAAAGAUAAAGAUAACAAUGAAGUUACAACCUUCCGUUUUGGCAUCUUUCAUCACAACUGAUAUCGGCAUCUUCAAGAUGUCAGUAUCUGUUGACCAGUUGCUAUUGUCUUUUCCUACAAUUCAUGAAUAACUUUCUAACAUAUCAUGAACCUUUGAGCUAGGAAAUGUUGUGCAAACUUACUGGUUUUUCACGAGCUAAAUUACUUCAGGUGUUGAAGUCAGUGGAGGGUUCUUGCUUUACUCUGAUUUUUUUUCAUGUUUAUAG
rnacentral:lncRNA from 1 species